rnacentral:lncRNA from 1 species
AGUAUUAAAUAUAGACGAAAAUAAAAACUAAUUGCACAGUUUGGUCGAAAUUGACCAGACGAAUCUUUUGAGUCUAGUUAGUACAUGAUUGGACAAUAUUUGUCAAAUACAAACGAAAAUGCUACAGUGUCAAUUUCCCAAAAUUUUUCGGAACUAAACAAGGCCCAAGCCCCAUUUUUCUCGCAGAAAAACGAAGCAGGGGGACCAGAAAGUGGAGGAUCGGGACAAAUCGUGGCCGCUCCGCUCCGGGGAAGUUGGGCGCGUCGGCGAAGCUUGCCUGUCCUCGCGUCGCCGAGCCCACACCUCGGCGCCUAUCUGGCUAUCAGCACUGCCCCCUUGUGAGUACAGUGACCUACUGACUUGUGUCACCAAUCCGGCCCCCUCAACUGUAUUUUCAUUCCACAUUAAAUUCCUCCUUUUCUCCCCUUCUCCAUAACGUCAACGAAGUAGGUUUCAAAAGGAAAAAAAAAAGUACUCCAUGAACUUUAGCAAAAAGUCGCUCUUGCAAUGUCAAAUCAGUUUUGCACUGUCCUGCUUUGCGGAUAAUCCUUUCGUCCAGUAAUACUAGGGCCUCGUUGUUCUGAAAAGAUUUCAGAUUUCGUACGUAUUUUUGUUUUUAUUUGACAAAUACUGUAUUAUCUAAUUAUGGACUAAUUAGACUCAAAAGAUUCAUCUCGUGAUUUACAACCAAACUGUGCAAUUAGUUUUUGUUUUCGUCUAUAUCUAAUGCUUUAUGCAUAUGCCUCAAGAUUUGAUGUGACGGAGAAUCUUGAAAAGUUUUUUAUUUUUUGGGUGAACUAAACAAGGCCUAGAUAACUCUGUGCUUGAGUUUAUUUGUCAAAUCUACCAACUAUUUUAGAAGUGUUUUUCUUUCAUAACAAAUCAGCGAAAAGUACUUUCAGCCGGCAAAUUAUUGGUGAAAUAAAUGAUAACCUUGUGCUUAUCAUAUUUUGCACAUGUUAAUAGAUACAAUGGCAGUUAUGUAUGUAGUUGGUGUUUUGAAGGAGUUAAUUCAUUUAGAAUUUAGAAUACCUUAUAAUUUAAGAUAAAAUUUGGAUGUUUUGAUACGUUAUAUUUUAGGACAGAUAGAGUAUAAUUCUACCUUUAUGUUAAGUCCAGUUUUCUAAGGUUAUAAGUAUCAGUAUUGAUAGCAAACUAAUAUUCAUGAUGAAUUGAAUAACACUUAAAUAUUGAUCUUUUUAUAAAUGAAUUAAAUGUAAAAUAUUUGACUAGAUGCUAUGCUAGACUGCAUUCUUUUUAGGAGGGGGGAAUACAAAAUGAAUGUUUCACUGAAUUCUCGUCUAUAAAGUCUGGAAUUCUAGCACAAUAUUAAGUAUAAAGAUAUCAAUAUUUAUAGUACCAACUAAAUAUCACAAGAUUUGUCAUGAAUAUAUUUUAUAGUAUAUUUAUAUUUAGCAUCAUAACUGUUAAUAUUUUUACCUAAAUAUAUUUGUUAAAUGUUAGAUAUUCUUGACAUAUGUAGUAGAUUAUAGAUAGGUUCACAUCCUGCCUCUGGGUCUGCCUUCAUAACUCAGUUAAUUCUGUACUUUUUCGCUAAUUCUACAAGUAAUUGGAAAGUUGAAGUUUGUAGGUUGGACGACCGUACAACUGCACCAAUCGGCUACUGUGGGAUACGAGCACUUAUAUAACUACAGUAGUGUGCAGUGCAUACUUUAUUGCAUGACUGUACGUGGAUGUGCUUCAAGCCUCAUCAAGGAGACACAAAAAAAUGGCAAAAUGGUAGAACGUUCAAGCGUCUACCAUUCUUGACCAAAAUUGAGGCCUUGUUAGUUUAAAAAAAAUUCAGACCGUCACAACAAAUCUUACUGUACAUAUAUGGAACACUAAAUAUAAAUUAAAAAAAUAACUAAUUAUAUAGUUUAUCUAUAAUUUACUAGACAAAUCUUUUGACCCUAGUUAGUUCAUAAUUGGACAAUAGUAACAAAUACCGGAUCACGUAUUAUCAACCAAUUUUCCGGUGUGUUUAUAAGCUCACAACAAAUCAUUAAUUUGACAUCGUGCAGCCUUUUUAUUUAUUUAAGAAAAGAAAAGAAAAACUAAAGGGUUAAGUUGUCAAUGAACAGUAGAGUAGGCAAACAUUUAUCUGUCCGUUCCAGCAGCAUUAAUCAAAAUUCAGACAAAUCCAUGUCAUUCUUGCAUUGUUGCCCUGGCCCCCAGUCACUACGCUUCAAAGCAGCAGCAGCAGGCCAGCAGCUGACGCCCUGACCCUACACCCAGUCAAACCGAUCGCCUCCUCCGAUCGCCAUUAACGAGUCAGUUGCUCUGCGCUACCACGCGGCCGAGAUGCUGCUGGCGCAGCAAGCUCACCGCCCCUAGAGCCUACAGCGAGCGAGCACGCACGGCAGCUACUAGAAGGCUAGCUAGCGCAUACCAAACCAAACAAACUCCUUUAAAGCCCCACCAGCGGGGGCAGCGCAGGCACCGUCGUCACUGCCAGGCUCGAGGGCAGAGCUAGGGGACCUCACCGCCGCGAUCUCCGGCGUGUCGAGCAGGGGCGUGGCGCGGCGGCCAGGGACGAGCGAGCUAGGGCGCCAUGAGCUCGUCGUCGGACAAUGGCGCCGGCCCGGAGGCCGGCGGGAAGAAGAAGAAGAAGAAGGCGGCGGAGGAGGAGGCGGCGGCGGCCAAGGUGCCGUUCCUGAAGCUGUUCUCGUUCGCGGACCGGUGGGACUGCGUGCUGAUGGCUGUGGGCUCGCUGGGCGCGUGCGCGCACGGCGCCUCCGUCCCGGUCUUCUUCAUCUUCUUCGGCAAGCUCAUCAACAUCAUCGGCCUCGCCUACCUCUUCCCCACCACCGUCUCCGGCCGCGUCGCCAAGGUAACGGCGCCGGCGCGCGCAUGGCGCAUCUAGCUCGCCGGCCGUUUUGUAGAGAUCUCGGCGCGCUCGCUCACCUAAUUGCUUGGUGCAACGACGACAUGGGCUGAUUUUUUUUUUUUCGCUUGGCGUGCACACAGUACUCGCUGGACUUCGUGUACCUCGGCGUCGUCAUACUCUUCUCGUCCUGGACCGGUGCGUGCGUGCGUGCGUGCAACAAGACACUGCUGCUUCUAGUAUGCAAUGCGGGCCGCGCGAGCAGCGUGCGUGCAGAUAAAAAAAGAUGACUUGCGCGUCGUCGUGUGUGUGGUGCAGAGGUGGCGUGCUGGAUGCACACGGGGGAGCGGCAGGCGGCGAAGAUGCGGCAGGCGUACCUGCGCGCGAUGCUGGACCAGGACAUCGCCGUCUUCGACACGGAGGCGUCCACCGGCGAGGUCAUCAACGCCAU